GGAAGUGUUUCUCCACACUAACCUACGAAAGUAGAUAUUAUUAUUAAUGCUAAAAGACUUUCCAUUGCAACCCUAAAAUAUUUCUAAAAGUAAACGAUUUAGGUGCUUCAUAAUUUAUUUUACGUCUAUACAGACACUCCAAAGUGAUUUAUGUAUUGGGCACUUGAAUAUGGAGAGUCAAAACCAUAUCAAAGAUAAAAUUACUUGCCUGUGGAGUGAAGUUGUAGUGAAUAUGUUGUAUGUAGACUUACGCGAUCUUAUUAUGUGUUAUAUUAACUGCAUAAUGUACUCACACCUGUUGUUCAGUGACUCAUACAAACACAUACACGUAAAAUACGCCCCAUCGACGCUACAACGAAUCUACAUAUGCAUAUAUAAAGAAGAAAUAUUGCAGGCUCCAGGAAGAGUGAAUUGCAAGUUCCUGUAAUUUUUGUCAAAGCGAGCUGUGUGGAAGAAUGGAAGUACAUUCAGCUACAAAUGGAGCAACAAAGACAUUGUAAAUAAAAGGAAAUGCCGAAGUUAAAAGUUGUUAAAACAACCAUCUCGACAUCAAAGUAUGAUUGAAAUGAAUGACAAAAUAAAAAAUGCCAAAAUGUUAAAAACGUUGUAAAGUGAAUUAAAGGACCAAAAUUAAUUCUAAUUGAACCAAUAAAAGAUGAUAACCUGUUUUUACUUAA